rnacentral:rRNA from 1 species
CCUACGGGUGGCAGCAGUGGGGAAUAUUGCACAAUGGGGGAAACCCUGAUGCAGCGACGCCGCGUGAGUGAAGAGGUAUUUCGGUAUGUAAAGCUCUAUCAGCAGGGAAGAAACCCACCCUCCGGGGUGGCUGACGGUACCUGACUAAGAAGCCCCGGCUAACUACGUUCCAGCAGCCGCGGUCAUACGUAGGGGGCAAGCGUUAUCCGGAUUUACUGGGUGUAAGGGGAGCGUAGGUGGCAAGGCAAGUCAGAUGUGAAAGCCCGGGGCCCAACCCCGGGAGUGCAUUGGAAACUGUCUGGCUAGAGUGCAGGAGAGGUAAGUGGAAUUCCUAGUGUAGCGGUGAAAUGCAUAGAUAUUAGGAGGAACACCAGUGGCGAAGGCGGCUUACUGGACUGUAACUGACACUGAGGCUCGAAAGCGUGGGGAGCAAACAGGAUUAGAUACCCCAGUAGUC